rnacentral:rRNA from 1 species
CCUUGCGCUCUUGGAGCGGCCGAUGCCUGAUUAGCUAGUUGGUGAGGUAAAGGCUUACCAAGGCGACGAUCAGUAGCUGGUCUGAGAGGACGACCAGCCACACUGGGACUGAGACACGGCCCAGACUCCUACGGGAGGCAGCAGUGGGGAAUUUUGGACAAUGGGGGAAACCCUGAUCCAGCCAUGCCGCGUGAGUGAAGAAGGCCUUCGGGUUGUAAAGCUCUUUCAGCCGGAACGAAACGGUCACGGCUAAUACCUGUGACUACUGACGGUACCGGAAGAAGAAGCACCGGCUAACUACGUGCCAGCAGCCGCGGUAAUACGUAGGGUGCAAGCGUUAAUCGGAAUUACUGGGCGUAAAGCGUGCGCAGGCGGUUUUGUAAGUCAGAUGUGAAAUCCCCGGGCUUAACCUGGGAACUGCGUUUGAAACUACAAGGCUAG